UCACACCGGACGAUCACCGAAGUUAAGCAACGUCGAGUUUGUUCUGUACGUAGAUGGGUGAUCGCUUGGGAAUACCAAGUGCUGUAA